UUCUCUCGUACGCGAAAUCUUUCUCACUCAAAACCCUAAAACUAUUUCCCUUCCCCUUAAACUCGAAUCGAAAGGCAUCAUUAUCAGAUCAGAACAGAACAAGUUCGCUCCCCCCAAAAUUAAAACCCUAACCUUCGAACAACCUCUCACCGCUACGCCACCGAUCCCUAUUUUCCCUCUUCAAUCUAUCAAAGAACAACAGAAUGAGUAGACGCUCCAGCAGAACCGUCUAUGUUGGUAAUCUACCUGGCGAUAUCCGUGAAAGAGAAGUUGAAGAUUUGUUUAUGAAGUAUGGACACAUAACUCACAUUGACCUAAAGGUUCCACCAAGGCCUCCUGGUUAUGCAUUUGUAGAGUUUGAAGAUUAUCAAGAUGCUGAGGAUGCAAUUCGCGGGCGUGAUGGCUAUGAUUUUGAUGGGCACCGGUUACGGGUGGAGGCUGCUCAUGGUGGUCGUGGUACUGGUAAUUCAUCUUCAAGAGAUCGAUAUAGUAGUCACACCAAUGGCCGGGGUGGACGUGGAGUAUCCAGACGUUUUGAAUAUCGCGUUCUAGUCAAUGGGUUGCCCUCUUCUGCAUCCUGGCAGGAUCUUAAGGAUCACAUGCGAAAAGCAGGGGAUGUUUGCUUUUCACAAGUUUUUCAUGAUGGAAGGGGUACGGGACAUUCAGAUGACUUUUUUCGCCAGGGUAAAUCCUCACAUCGUUCGCCAGCUAAAUCUCCAGCAAGAUCAGUUUCUCGUUCUCGCUCGAGAUCUAGAUCCCGUUCUUUAUCAGGCACAAGAUCAUUGAUAGCGUGCUUGCUCGAGGGGAGAGGCUGGACAGUUUAGUUGAGAAGAGUUCUGAUCUUAGUGCAGCGUCGCAGGUAAGUAAUACAGCUCUUGUUUUGCAACUCUGCCCUCUGGGAUUGUCCCAUGAGGACAUAUGAUGUGGUUACGUACAUUCAGAUAUUUGUUAUUUCUCCAACUCUUCUCGUUUUUCACUACUAAAGCUUUGGUGUAUGUGGUUAUGGUAUUCAUUAUGCAUGUAUUAUUGCAUUUUGUUCCUGUUAUUAAUGUCAUUGUUGGUUAGAUUUCUAGUGCUGCUUUUAUUUAAGUGAUUACGUGAUGAUAGGAAAUAAAUCAUAUUAAGGAGCUUACGAUGAUAGCUAUUUAGAAUUAUACUUAAAACUGUAUGGUAGUGGAUGUUCUAAGAUAGUACAGUACACCAUAAAAGAACAAUCUUAUAAGGCAAAGAACAAUCUCAUGGUUGACUACAUAACACAGGUAAAGAACAAUCUGAUCUGAUGCUUUUGCUUGCUGUAGAAUUUUAUUUUGUACUAGCAUUUGCAGAUUGGAAUCUCAUGGUUAAUCAUUCAUUUAUUCAUAAUUUUGUCUUUAAUUGCAGAUUAAUUGGUGAAAGAUCAGGAUAACUAUUCAUAUACAUACAUACUAGCUGCCUACUUGAGCAUGCAUGCGCUGAAACUAUAAGGAAGAGGAAAUGAAAUGGUGAUUUUCAACCUCGGGUUCUCAAUGCAUCAGAGCUUUUUGGAGCUUCUUGUUGUUAUUGUUGCAGUUCUGGAUCUUCUGAUGCAUGGAAAAUAUUUAAGUUUGAAUAUAUACUAAGUUGUGAAUGGCAUCAACAUCGUGUGUUACUAAGAGUCCGUUACCCAUGAAAGAGACAGCUUUGAGCCAUGGAGAAUAUCCUCCUGCUAUGGCAACAUAUGAAGAGGUUGUAGAUAAUCCAAAGCUCUUCAUGCUUAGCUUGGAGAAGCUCCAUGCUCUAAUGUGCACCAAGUUCAUGCAGUCAAGGAAUGGCGUUAACGAAGUUCUGAAGUCGGCUAACUAGAAUCAUGCAAAUAAUCUCUCUGCUCAAUGAUGAAGUGUAGACCAAUGUCCCUCUAGUGCAGAUUGGUUCAGGCAAGUUAAACCGUGCAUCUGGAACAGAAUGUCUGAUCAAUAUCCAAGUUAUGUCACCAUUAUUGAAGUGUGUAGUACAAAAGCCAUAGCUCAAAUGUUGAAUACGGGAAGAAAAACAUCCCAGUUGUACCUCUUGAAUGAAGACUUCAACUAAUCAAAAGUCAUGCAUCCUUCUUAGCACGAGUCAAGCAUCCGGAGCAAGGUGUAUCAAAUGUACAACUCAGACCGUACCCCAUGGUACAGUACAUUUGAUAACUACGCCCAUUUGUUGAAGUGCGUCACACACAAACCAUUAAAAAUGUAUCCGUGUUCUUUAUCGCUUUUCAUAGUUUUUGCUUUUGUGUGUUUAAUUGCUUAUCUCAAUUGUUUUGGUUGCUUUAUUCAUUUGCUUCACACACUAAAGAUUAUUGAUGUGGUUUCUUUGGAUUCACAACAGUGAUAACUUAGAAUGUGUUGUAUUUGCCUCAGUUCGAAGUCACUCUAAACUCAGUAUCAAAUUGUGUAAAGAACAAAUUUGCAAUUUGAUAUUUGAGACUAAUAGAUGAGUCAUACAGUGAUGUAGGAAGAUUUCUUCGGUAUUUUAUUAUUUUAGUUUUAUUAUAUUUUAGGU